UACGAAGGGGGCUAGCGUUGCUCGGAAUCACUGGGCGGAAAGCGCACGUAGGCGGAUCGCUAAGUCAGGGGUGAAAUCCUGGAGCUCAACUCCAGAUCUGCCUUUGAUACUGGCGACCUUGAGUCCGGGAGAGGUGAGUGGAACUGCGAGUGUAGGGGUGAAAUCCGUAAAUAUACGAAGGAACGCCAAAAGCGAAGGCAGCUCUCUGGGUCCCUACCGACGCUGGGGUGCGAAAGCAUGGGGAGCGAACAGG
rnacentral:rRNA from 1 species